rnacentral:rRNA from 1 species
GAGUUUGAUCCUGGCUCAGAAUGAACGCUGGCGGCGUGGUUAAGACAUGCAAGUCGAACGGCGUUUUCAGGUGUAGCAAUACAUUUUGAAAAGCAGUGGCGAACGGGUGCGUAACACGUGAACAAUCUACCUUUUAGUGUGGAAUAGCUCGGCGAAAGCCGGAUUAAUACCGCAUGUGGUUGUCCUUCUCCUGAAGGGCAUACUAAAGCUGGGGACCGUAAGGCCCAGCGCUAACAGAGGAGUUCGCGGCCUAUCAGCUAGUUGGCGAGGUAACGGCUCACCAAGGCUAAGACGGGUAGCUGAUCUGAGAGGAUGAUCAGCCACACUGGGACUGCGACACGGCCCAGACUCCUACGGGAGGCAGCAGUGGGGAAUAUUGGGCAAUGGGCGAAAGCCUGACCCAGCCACGCCGCGUGAGUGAUGAAGGCCUU